rnacentral:lncRNA from 1 species
UCGUUGUCUCCAACUCGGAGGAUCAGCUUUGAGGCCUGUCACUGAUGCAAAUCUGUUGAUGUCUGCGGGAGUGUUUUGUUUUGGUUCUGCUUUAGAGACGGUGCGGUAAUCAUUGGUCUCCAAAGAGGCAUAGAACACAGCGGGGAUCCUCCUUCGUCUCUUUUCUGGGCUUUCCGCCCGGCACAGCCUCGAGUUUCCUGGGGGGAGACCCCAGAACCUCCCGGAGGCUCCCCGCCCCGCUGCCUGGGGUGCUGACCUGCUUCUCGAGAGGAGGACACGGAGCCUCCUGCUCUGCAGCUGUCCCCGCAAUGCUCCUGUUCCCGGAGGCGAGCUAGGAGCUUGUCUGACCUCGUUUGACCCCGCCGCAGGCGUCAGGCGCCCUCCUUUACUGAGAGGCACGAGAGUCUCCUUUUUGCCCCAGGAAUGCCAUUCACUUCUCUCCUUGGUGGCUUGUGGCUGCUCUUGUGUCCCCUAACUGAGACCCUCUCCCCAGAGGCACAUGCUGGCCAUGCUCCUCUUUUUAUUUUAAACACUGUGCUCUCGGGGUUCUCCCAGCCACCCGGCUCUGGGAAAAAGGAGGUCUGUGAAUGCGAAGGCAAAUCCAGUCGCUGGGGUUGUGCUGCGUAUAGAUCGGGAAAGAAAGCAUACUUGGGUUGCCCAUUGUCUACACCGCACGGAAAAUUCCAUCCCGCCACAGCCUGGGAGCAGUUAUUGCCCUGGGAUGCAGCUGAGGAAAUAAACCUCCUGGCCUGGACCACCCAGCAAGCUCAG